rnacentral:rRNA from 1 species
CCUACGGGUGGCUGCAGUGAGGAAUAUUGGUCAAUGGGCGGAAGCCUGAACCAGCCAAGUAGCGUGCAGGAUGACGGCCCUACGGGUUGUAAACUGCUUUUAUACGGGAAUAAGGCGCCUUAUGUGUAGGGCUUUGCAUGUACCGUAUGAAUAAGGACCGGCUAAUUCCGUGCCAGCAGCCGCGGUACUACGGAAGGUACGGGCGUUAGCCGGAUUUAGUGGGGUUAAAGGGAGCGUAGGCCGCAUGUCAAGCGUGCUGUGAAAUGGCCGGGCUCAACCCGGGCCUUGCAGCGCAAAAUGGCGUGCUUGAGUCCGCGGAAGGCAGGCGGAAGUCGUCGGGGAGCGGUGAAAUGCUUAGAUAUGACGAAGAACCCCGAUUGCGAAGGCAGCUUGCUGCAGCGGAACUGACGCUGAUGCUCGAAAGCGCGGGUAUCGAACAGGAUUAGAUACCCCAGUAGUC